CGGGCUCGACCGCCGCGUCUGCGGCAGUAUGACAGGCCCGCCCGCGGCCGAGUCUACA
rnacentral:snoRNA from 19 species